rnacentral:rRNA from 1 species
UGGGGAAUCUUGCGCAAUGGGGGAAACCCUGACGCAGCGACGCCGCGUGCGGGAUGAAGGCCUUCGGGUUGUAAACCGCUUUCAGCAGGGACGAAAUUGACGGUACCUGCAGAAGAAGGCCCGGCCAACUACGUGCCAGCAGCCGCGGUAAUACGUAGGGGCCUAGCGUUGUCCGGAAUUAUUGGGCGUAAAGAGCUCGUAGGCGGUUCGGCAAGUCGGAUGUGAAAUCUCCACGCUUAACGUGGAGGGGCCAUUCGAAACUGCUGUGACUCGAGUCCGGUAGGGGAGUGUGGAAUUCCCGGUGUAGCGGUGAAAUGCGCAGAUAUCGGGAGGAACACCAGUAGCGAAGGCGGCACUCUGGGCCGGUACUGACGCUGAGGAGCGAAAGCGUGGGGAGCGAACAGGAUUAGAUACCCUGGUAGUCCACGCCGUAAACGUUGGGCACUAGGUGUGGGACUCUAUCGACGGGUUCCGUGCCGUAGCUAACGCAUUAAGUGCCCCGCCUGGGGAGUACGGCCGCAAGGCUAA